rnacentral:tRNA from 1 species
GCCGGUGUAGCUCAAUGGUAGAGCAAUCCCUUCGUAAGGGAGAGGUUAGAGGUUCAACUCCUCUCAUCGGCU